UGGACAUUCAAGAUUUGCAAACGGGGGUCCCAUAACACCAGGUGCCACACAAGCAUCAGCCAGAAGAUUGUACAGGAGCCUGGCGGAUGAUGGAUUGGAGGAUGGACCUACCAGCUGUUCCUGAUUCAUCUUCUGCUGAAGCUAAAGAAUUAGAAUGAGCAACCAGGCAAAAGCUUCAUCCAGCCGUCUGUGGAUCAUGUCACCAAGCCAGACGGCAGUAAUUUAACUUACCUCUCUCAUAAGACCAGUAUAUACUGGCAGUAAUUUAUUGCUUCUUCAUUACUAAGGAUUUACGGGAUGCUUCGUUGUUCUUGGAGGGAAAGGCAAUAUUUCCUGCUUUGUAAAUUUGACCUUUCCUAUCUGUGUAUUUUUUAGCCAGCUAUUUCUUUCUUAUAUGAGAUAAAUGUGUUGACCAGUACACGGAGGAAAAUGUCCCAGCUGGAAUUAAUAAGGAAGCCUGAUCUGCAUAGUGAGGUUUAUUUAGCUGUGUUACUAUCUAAAUCUUUAUAUAAAAUACUUUCAUAGGGCUGUAGUGUAAAACCAAAUGGUUUUAUAAAAUCACUGGAUUAUAUUUAGGGAGGGGAAAAUGAAACAAAACCAAAAAUAACAAGCAAUGAAUUGUAGCAAAAAAUAGACCAGAUCUUUAAUGAACUUAAAUUAGCGAUGCUUGCUUAGAGAUAAUGACACAUCUGCGGAAGUCCUGGCCAGAACCACUUCUGCCAGGGACCUGAGCUGCUCAGCAGGGACCCUGAGAUGACAUCCAGCAUAUACAGGAUACCAGUCUGUUUUCAAGUGAUGGGAACACUUCUCRCUUUGCAAAAGUACAAAUUUGCUCUAGGUUAGCUCUAAUUAGCCUCCUGUCAGCUGCAACUGAAUGAUGGGGGGUCGAGAGGGAGAGUAAGACUCUUUUUAGUUUUUAAGAAGUCUGUCAUUUAGUUUCAGAACAGCUGUGCAUUUCUGAUUGACAGAGGCAUCUAUUCCAGUUAUAUUUUAUCAGUCUAAGAAAUUCAUGAUGGCUUUUCCCAAAUCAAUAGUAGUAGUGAAUCUCAUCACAGAGGAAGCAGGAGGUAAACCAUCUUUGAUGUUCAUAACCUAUUAAGGUUAGGUCUGCUAUGAGCAUUUUGGGUAUCUGAGUUGGAUGAAAAUACAAACCCCCAUCUGAUGAAACAUUUAAAGAUACUGUUUUUUUUU